UACGUAGGGUGCGAGCGUUGUCCGGAAUUAUUGGGCGUAAAGGGCUCGUAGGCGGUCUGUUGCGUCAGGAGUGAAAACCCGGGGCUCAACCCCGGGCCUGCAGCCGAUACGGGCAGACUAGAGUUCGGCAGGGGAGACUGGAAUUCCUGGUGUAGCGGUGAAAUGCGCAGAUAUCAGGAGGAACACCGGUGGCGAAGGCGGCAUCCUGGACCGAUACUGACGCUGAGGAGCGAAAGCCAGGGGAGCAAACGGG
rnacentral:rRNA from 1 species